AGGCUGCAAGUGUCUUUCAAUGUUCUUUUAUGAAUGUUGUAAGUAUAAAAGUCUAAGUUUGACCUAGGCUUAUAUAUAUGUUAUAAUAAGGUCAAGACGGGGUGGGGUAUAAAACUUGUGUAUAAAUGUGUAUAAACUCCCCGCUUUAAAUGUAUAUACCCCAGUUUACUAUAUUAGGUCCGUUCGUAAGUUCAUCCCUGAAGAAGUUUGCCCCCUACACUUCCAGGCCCACGAGUGUUACAAGUAAGUAUGUACAUGCAUACAGAUCUCAUUUUAACUGUACAUGUAAAUACUUGAAGGUUUUCAGCAGACGAGCUGUAGUGAAGUAUCACUGAAGUACAUCUAUAUAUACACUCUUAAAUGAGUCCAUUCCUUGACAGAAAGAUAGAUAUUAUAUAUGACAAUGUAGAUAGUAGAAAGGGUCUUCUUCUCUUUUCAAUGUAAGGUAUCAAAUCAAGGUGUUUAUUAAUGACACUAAAAGUGUAAUAAAAAAUAAAGACAUACAAUCAAACAUAACACUUAUGAAUUUUGGAAUGUAUGUACAUGUAUAUUUGGCACUUACAUUAUUACCUAGUUUUCACAAAGAUUUGUUGGACUUUUACGCAUGUAAACAGACAAAAGUAUGCCUUAAUAUUAAGAACCAUUGGUUUUUAAAUGCUCAUCUACAGGGUGUAUUUCGGUAUACUGUUGUCUGUCGGUCAGUUGUCAGCAUGUCAGACAAUAACUCCAAAAAAGCUUUAACCACUUUGCAUGAAACUUUGUUUAUGUCUAUUGACCUGAACUCCCUUUUAAUUAUUUUACAUUUGUGAGAUAUAGUUAUAUAUGUAUAUAUAAAUCUUUCAAUAUAUGUAUAUAUAGCUACAUUUACAUCUAGGGUUUUAUUCAUUUAAGGGGGCUCGCGAGUCUAAAUCUUUUUUUUUAAAUUUAAUAUAGGAUUUCGCUUAAUUUUUCUACAUGUAUAAAUGAACUUAAUCUAUUAAUAGAAAACGGAAAUAAAAAAUGGGGUAACCGUUCAUUUACUCUCACAAUCUGCCAUUGAAAGAAGCAUACAUUUUUGUUAAUGUCCUUUUAUCUGUUGAACUAAUAGAAGAAAUAGAGGUAAUAUCGAAAUAAAAAAAAGAACUAAAUUACAGAAAUCGCUUAAAUUUUACAAUUAUUUAGUUUAUGUACAGCUUAUUUGAAAACAACAAUAAAAAAUAUAGGUCACCGAUGAGUUAAAAAGAUAUUUCAAUUUUAAUGCCAAAAAUGUCAUUUUUGUACCUAAGGGAGAUAAUUUGAAGCUUUUUAAUGAUAUCUACAUUUUGAAAAUCACAUGGGGCCAACACGAAUUGAUUUUUUUUCAAAUAUUUUUGUACCAUAUGAUAAAGUAACAACUAUUAAAGGUAAUCAAUAAAAUUUGUAUUGAUAAAUAAAUGUUUCAUUUUUUUCUGAAAAUUUUAUACCCACAAGCCUGGAGAUAUCAAAAAAACAUUUAAAAAUGAACGGGGGAAAAAAACUAAAGUUAAUGUUUGAGUACAGAAAUAUUUCAUUUGUUUGAUUUUUGUUUUGAUAUACUAACUUAAGCUAACAUAAGUGCAUGUUGUUCAAAACUUCUGUUUCCAGGAUGGAUUUACAAAAAGAGAGGCGUAAAAAAUACAGGAGACGGUGGAUGAGUAUUUCACGUGCAGUGAAUAAAGAUUUACAUGCAGCUUCAAAUAAUGCUAAUUGCACAACAAGUUCUGAUGAUGACGAGGCCCAGGGCCGAGAUUUUAGCCAAAACAAAAGUGUGGGAACCUGUGGACUUGGACAAGAAUUUAUAGAAUCUUCAAGUUUUCCUAACAUAAACAUGAAUCAAGAUUUAUCAGAUGACUCUGAUUCAAGUGUACCAAUGAACCAAAAUGAAGAUAUUAUAAAUGAAGAAUGGAAUUGGGAUAUGAUUGAUCAACACAUUGAAAUAACAGAUUCAGAAAAUGAAGGUGAAGGUGACAGUUCAACUAUUUUAACUGAUCUUUCAGAGUGGGCGACUGAAAAUCUUAUUAAACAAAAUGCACUUGACAAGUUGCUCAAGAUUUUAAUUAAGAAUGGACACAAAAAUCUUCCUUCCACUGCCCGGACUUUGUUACAAACAAAAAGACAUAUUGACACACAAGUUGUAUCAAAUAUGGAGUACUAUAAUUUUGGUUUGGAGAAAGGACUAAAAACUAAUCUGGAAAAGUAUCCAUGCGAGUUAAUUAGCCAGGUUAACAGGGUAGAAAUAAGUUUAAAUAUUGAUGGUUUGCCAUUAUUUAAAAGUUCAAAAAAAGCACUUUGGCCAGUCUUGUGUGGUAUAAAUUUGAAACCAAUGAAAGUUUUUGCAGUUACAUUAACAUUGGGAACUUCCAAACCACAAAGCUUAGACUUUUUGAAUGAAGUGAUUAAUGAAUUAGAUAUACUUCUUCAAAGAGGAAUAAUGUUAAACGAAAAACAUAUCGACAUAGGUUUAAAAUGCAUUGUUUGUGAUGCUCCAGCAAAGGCAAUGAUUAAAGGAGUUAAACUUUACAGUGGUUAUUGCGGUUGUGAUAGAUGUGGACAGAGAGGUGUAUGGAAAGGCAGGAUGACUUAUCCAGAAAUAGAAAACUUACCAUAUAGGACAGACUUAUCUUUUCGCAACCAAACCCAACCAGAACAUCACCGUACCAGAUCCCCGUUUUGUGAUCUUCCAAUAGAUAUGAUAAAAUCAUUUCCUAUUGACUACAUGCAUCAGGCUUGUCUUGGUGUCAUGAAAAGAUUACUAUUACUUUGGAUGCGUGGUAAAAAGAAGGAGACCAAAAUAUCAUUUGGUCAUAUUGAAGAAAUCAGUACACGACUUGUCCAAUUGUCUAAAUUCAUUCCAAAAAAAUUUGCAAGGAAACCUAGAGGCUUGGAUGAAAUUGACUAUUGGAAGGCCACAGAAUACAGGCAGUUCUUACUUUACACUGGUAAGCUUGUGUUAAAAGGUGUACUAAAAAAAGAGCUAUAUGAACAUUUCUUAAGUUUUUCAGUUGCCAUGACUAUACUCGUAAGUCCAGUUUUAGUUGAAAAUUAUGUUGAGUAUGCAAAGGAAUUAUUGGUGUAUUUCGUAUCACAGGCUCAAAUUUUAUAUGGAGAAGAGAUACUAGUCUACAAUGUUCACAGCAUGGUGCAUUUGGCUGAUGAUGCAAAGGAAUAUGGCUGUUUAGAUAACUGUGCAGCAUUUUCCUUUGAAAAUCAUAUGCAACACUUAAAAAAAAUGAUACGAUCUGGAAAAAAUCCGCUAUCCCAAAUUAUUAAAAGAAUUAGUGAGCUAGAAAAUUUACAAUCGAAAAAAGUUGAAACCGUCAUUCCCAACAUUUGCAACAAGAAACCAAAUAAUGCUUUUGUUUUGAACAAUCACACUUGCUGUGAAGUUGUUGGUGAAAUAAAUGGAGGUAAAUCAAUAUUGUGUCGUGUGUAUUCAAGGGGAGAAGCUAUUUUUAAUAUGCCAUGUGACUCAAGAAUUAUUGGAGGAUACAGAUUCCAGAAACGUUUCUCCCAGAUGAAAAUGCUUGAUGUUGGACUGCUUAAUCGUCAAGCAAUUGAGAUCAACAAAGAUGUUGAUUUGCAUGUUACCUUUUUAGCAAUUCUGCAUGACUUUUAGAGAUGUUAAAGCAGUAUGUAGUUGUGGGUUUUCAGGAUGAUUCGGUGGCAGUGGCACACAAUAAAUGGCUAGUAAAAACAUUGGAAGGGGAAUCUGCAUGUUGGUGGCCCUUUAACAACCAAAGUACCAGAG